rnacentral:rRNA from 1 species
GACGAACGCUGGCGGCGUGCUUAACACAUGCAAGUCGAACGGAAAGGCACUGCUUUUGUGGGGUGCUCGAGUGGCGAACGGGUGAGUAACACGUGAGUAACCUGCCCUUGACUUUGGGAUAACUUCAGGAAACUGGGGCUAAUAUCGGAUAGGAGCUCCUGCUGCAUGGUGGGGGUUGGAAAGUUUCGGCGGUUGGGGAUGGACUAGCGGCUUAUCAGCUUGUUGGUGGGGUAGUGGCUUACCAAGGCUUUGACGGGUAGCCGGCCCGAGAGGGUGACCGGCCACAAUGGGACUGAGAUACGGCCCAGACGCCUACAGGAGGCAGCAGGGGGGAAUAUGACACAAUGGGCGGAAGCCUGAUGCAGCAACGCCGCGUGCGGGAUGACGGCCUUCGGGUUGUGAACCGCUGUCGCCUGAGACGAAGCGGGAGUGACGGUAAUGGAUAAAGAAGCACCGGCUAACUACGUG